rfam:Hordeum vulgare subsp. vulgare, WGS project CAJW01000000 data, contig: morex_contig_519060
GGGGCAGAGGGAAUUUCCGGUGGAGCGGUGAAAUGCAUUGAGAUCGGAAAGAACACCAACGGCGAAAGCACUCUGCUGGGCCGACACUGACACUGAGAGACGAAAGCUAGGGGAGCAAAUGGGAUUAGAGGCCCCAGUAGUCCUAGCCGUAAACGAUGGAUACUAGGUGCUGUGCGACUCGACCCGUGCAGUGCUGUAGCUAACGCGUUAAGUAUCCCGCCUGGGGAGUACGUUCGCAAGAAUGAAACUCAAAGGAAUUGACGGGGGCC